UUAGAUUAUCUGGGGUGCCCUAUGGCUGAGAUAUACCCACCGAACCUGCUCAUGAUAAUGCAUGCGAAGGGAGAUAUAACAUUGUUUAG
rfam:Leuconostoc pseudomesenteroides PS12 contig_067, whole genome shotgun sequence.